rnacentral:rRNA from 1 species
UUCGACCUACGGGACGCAGCAGUGGGGAAUAUUGGGCAAUGGGCGCAAGCCUGACCCAGCAACGCCGCGUGAAGGAAGAAGGCUUUCGGGUUGUAAACUUCUUUUGUCAGGGACGAAGCAAGUGACGGUACCUGACGAAUAAGCCACGGCUAACUACGUGCCAGCAGCCGCGGUAAUACGUAGGUGGCAAGCGUUAUCCGGAUUUACUGGGUGUAAAGGGCGUGUAGGCGGGGGAGCAAGGCAGAUGUGAAAACCACGAGCUCAACCUGUGGCCUGCAUUUGAAUCUGUUUUUCU